GUCUCUGUAACGCAAUGGAUAGCGCCUUGAAUUUCUAAUCCAAAGGUCAUGGGUUCGAAGCCCACCUGGGAUG